GCCCUACGGGGCGCAGCAGGCGCGAAAACUUUACAAUGCGGGAAACCGUGAUAAGGGGACACCGAGUGCCAGCAUCAUAUGCUGGCUGUCCGGAUGUGUAAAAUACAUCCGUUAGCAAGGGCCGGGCAAGACCGGUGCCAGCCGCCGCGGUAACACCGGCGGCCCGAGUGGUGAUCGUGAUUAUUGGGUCUAAAGGGUCCGUAGCCGGUUUGGUCAGUCCUCCGGGAAAUCUGAUAGCUCAACUAUUAGGCUUUCGGGGGAUACUGCCAGACUGAACCGAG
rnacentral:rRNA from 1 species